CAUUGAGCCACAUCCCUAUCCCUUUUAUUUUAUUUAUUUGUUUGUUUAUUGAGACCAUCUCACAAGGUUAGCCAACACUGAGAGGAGACUAUAUUUUGGUAAACUAGUAUAACCAACUAGGGCAGUGCCUGGCACAUGGUAGAUAUUCAAUAAAAUAUUUGUUUAAUGAAAAAAAGUUAUGUAUACAUAAUAUUUGAAAAUAUGUUUAAAUUUUUAUCUGGAAAAUGGGUAUGAGGGAAGCAUAAAUUUCCUUUAUGUGAUUGAUAAAUGUAAAUAUUUGUUGCAAGUCAUUGGGAAUAGAUGUAUUUUGGUUAUAUUUUUUAAAUGUACAGAAACUUGAGACAAAAAUAGAAAUAUGUGAAGCACUAGUUUCUUAGUUAUGGGAUUAGUUAGAUUUACUUUUUUGACAAUGAGGAAAAUACAAAACAUGGAAUUUUUGACAGUGCUUUGUAAAAAGAACUAAAUAUUAUAAUGGAGGGACAAAUCACUGCUGUGGUUGUACACAUAAACCUUAUUCUGUAAUAGAAAUAGUGUAGCUUUACAAGCAUAGUCAUUUUAAAGAGAAAAUUGAGGGGAAAAUGGUUAUUGAGGAUUGAGAUAGUGAUGGUUUUUUGGUAUCUUUGGAGAAGUAAUUCUUAGAUCUAAGUGGAAACUCUUUGGGCAUAUGCUUCCUUGCCUGGUGAAUGGAGUAGAGAUAGGUAAGGCAUAGGUAGCAACAGCUACAGUAUUUCUUGUUUCAUAUCUCCUUUCUGGAUACCAAGUUAAUACAUCUCCAAGGCUUCAUAUUUUAGGUGAUCGUUAUAUCAAAUGAUAUAUAACUCAGAAUAAUUAUUUUAAUAUGGCAAUAAAUAUUGAGAAUUAAUAUUUAACAUUUUUUAAAACUAAUGUUAAGGGAG
rnacentral:lncRNA from 1 species